rnacentral:rRNA from 1 species
ACGGGAGGCAGCAGUGGGGGAUAUUGCACAAUGGGGGAAACCCUGAUGCAGCGACGCCGCGUGAGUGAAGAAGUAUUUCGGUAUGUAAAGCUCUAUCAGCAGGAAAGAUAAUGACGGUACCUGACUAAGAAGCACCGGCUAAAUACGUGCCAGCAGCCGCGGUAAUACGUAUGGUGCAAGCGUUAUCCGGAUUUACUGGGUGUAAAGGGAGCGCAGACGGCAUGGCAAGCCAGAUGUGAAAUGCGGGGGCUCAACUCCUGAACUGCAUUUGGAACAGUCAAGCUAGAGUAUCGGAGAGGUAAGUGGAAUUCCUAGUGUAGCGGUGAAAUGCGUGGAUAUUAGGAGGAACACCAGUGGCGAAGGCGGCUUACUGGACGAUAACUGACGUUGAGGCUCGAAAGCGUGGGGAGCAAACAGGAUUAGAUACCCUGGUA